CACGUAGGGCGCGAGCGUUGUCCGGAAUUAUUGGGCGUAAAGGGCUCGUAGGCGGCGUGUCGCGUCGGGAGUGAAAGCCCGCUGCUUAACGGCGGGUUGGCUUCCGGUACGGGCAUCGCUGGAGUGCGGCAGGGGAGACUGGAAUUCCGGGUGUAGCGGUGGAAUGCGUAGAGAUCCGGAAGAACACCGGUGGCGAAGGCGGUCUGCUGGGCAGUUGCUGACACUGAGGCGCGACAGCGUGGGGAGCA
rnacentral:rRNA from 1 species